CGGGAAACUGGGGAUAAUACCCUAUAGACUAUGGAUGCUGGAAUGCUUCGUAGUUGAAAGGUCCGCCGCUGUAGGAUGGGUCUGCGGCCGAUUAGGUUGUUGUUGGGGUAACGGCCCAACAAGCCUGUAAUCGGUACGGGUUGUGGGAGCAAGAGCCCGGAGAUGGAUUCUGAGACAACGAUCCAGGCCCUACCGGGGGGCAGCAGGCGGGAAAAUUUACCAAUGCGGGAAACCGUGAUAAGGGAACUCUGAGUGCCCGUAAAAUCGGGCUGUCCAUCAGUUUAAAUAACUGGUGAAGAAAGGGCCGGGCAAGACCGGUGCCAGCCGCCGCGGUAACA
rnacentral:rRNA from 1 species